GAUGAAGAACGUAGUGAAAUGCGAUAAGUAGUGUGAAUUGCAGAAUUCAGUGAAUCAUCGAAUCUUUGAACGCACAUUGCGCCCCUUGGUAUUCCAUGGGGCAUGCCUGUUCGAGCGUCAUUUGUACCCUCAAGCUUUGCUUGGUGUUGGGCGUCUUGUCUUGUAUUAGACUCGCCUUAAAGUCAUUGGCAGCCAGUGUUUUUGGUAGUAAGCGCAGCACAUUUUGCGUCUUAGUCAUUGAAUCGUGGCAUCCAUGAAGCCUUUUUUCACUUUUGACCUCGGAUCAGGUAGGGAUACCCGCUGAACUUAAGCAUAUCAAUAAGCGGAGGA
rnacentral:misc_RNA from 1 species